AGAGUUUGAUCAUGGCUCAGAGCGAACGCUGGCGGCGUGCUUAACACAUGCAAGUCGAACGAGUGUAGCAAUACAUUCGUGGCGAACGGGGUGCGUAACACGUGGAUAACCUUCCUCCAGGUGGGGAAUAACCCCGCGAAAGCGGGGCUAAUACCGCAUAACAUCACGAUGGGACAUCCUGUUGUGAUCAAAGGCGCAAGUCGCCGGGAGAGGGAUCCGCGGCCGAUUAGCUAGUUGGUGAGGUAACGGCUCACCAAGGCGAUGAUCGGUAGCCGGUCUGAGAGGAUGAUCGGCCACACUGGAACUGAGACACGGUCCAGACUCCUACGGGAGGCAGCAGUGGGGAAUCUUGCACAAUGGGCGAAAGCCUGAUGCAGCAACGCCGCGUGGGGGAUGAAGCUUCUCGGAGUGUAAACCCCUUUCGACCCGGACGAAUGCCCGCAAGGGUUUGACGGUACGGGUAUAAGAGGCCCCGGCUAACUACGUGCCAGCAGCCGCGGUAAGACGUAGGGGGCCAGCGUUGCUCGGAAUUACUGGGCGUAAAGGGUCCGUAGGCGGUGUGGCAAGUCGGGAGUGAAAUCUCUGGGCUUAACUCAGAGGCUGCUUCCGAAACUGCUGUGCUAGAGUGUGAGAGAGGCGAGUGGAAUUACGGGUGUAGCGGUGAAAUGCAGAUAUCCGUAGGAACAUCCGAGGCGAAAGCGGCUCGCUGGAUCACAACUGACGCUGAGGGACGAAAGCUAGGGGAGCAAACAGGAUUAGAUACCCCCGUAGUCC
rnacentral:rRNA from 1 species